GUGCUCCUAAGUCAUAAAUCACCCAACGAAGCUAUCCAAAUCAUAAAAUUUCUGAUCCGAGCUCAUAUACAAAUAAGUCAACUCUUAGUCAAACCUUUCAAAUUCACAGCUUUCAACUGAGACUGUUCCUUCAAAUUCAUUCCGAUUUUCCUGAAAACCAAAACCAACGAUCUACAUCAGCCAUAAUACGUUACACGGGGCAAGUCAUUCCCGGGAACUGACGAUCAAAGUGCAAAAGUUCAAAACAGUCGGUCGGGUCGUUACAUGAUUAAUGGAGGACAACACUUGAGCAUAAACUAAAUUUAACUUCAACAUACAGGAGAAAAUUACAUAGUGCAGGAGUAAAACUUUUAGGUUGUUUGUCCUGAAGUUUUUACAAAUGAACUAAAUCACUUAAGCAUCUUCUGCUGAAGUUUUUUGAAAAAAGAUGUAAGACAGGAUUAAUGAAUCGAGGGACAAAAACUUCAGCGUAUUAAGUGCUGAAGUUUUAGAAAUGAACUAAAUAACUUCAGCACAUUGGGCUGAAGUUUUUUGAAAAACCUUUACGACAAAAACUAUUGAAUCCCGGACAAAAACUUCAUCUUAUCAAGUGCUGAAGUAUUUAGAAAUGUACUAAAUAACUUCACCAUAUUGGGCUGAUGUUUUUUAAAAAAGCUUUACGAAAAAAACUAUUGAAUGCAGGACAAAAACUUCAACUUAUUAAGUACUGAAGUUUUAGAAAUGAACUAAAUAACUUCAGCACAUUGAGCUGAAGUUUACCAAAUGAAUUAAAUAAACUUCCGCAUGUUUCAGCAUUAAUUGCAUAGUAUACAAGAGUAAACAUAACAAACAUAAUUAAAGCAAUAAUUAUAUUACGUUGGGGGUAUGUGUUAGUGUAAUAAUUGCAUUCCUAUCACAUUCAUGCACGCUUUUCGUUAGACAACGUUUAAAAUUCCUCUUUGCCUUUUCAUAUACCAUUCAAAAGUUUUUUUCACCUAUAUAAGCACGAUAUACCUUGUCAGUUUAUUCACUCAAACACAUAUAUUUUAGCAGAUAAAAUACAAAACGGAGAAAAAUGGAUGCUGUAAUAAGGCAAAUAGUUGACAAAAUUAAACAAGACAUUAUAGAGGCUUUUGAGCUGAAACUGGAUGAGCUCAUAGACAAGUAUGACAGGGAGCUGGAAGAAAUCAACAACAAGCUUGAUAGGAUUGAGAUGCUGGUGAAAUUUGAUAGUCUUGGUGAUGAAGAUGCUCGUCCAUCUGGCAGUCACGACGAUGAUGAUGAUGAUGAUACGGACGAUUAGUUUUUUUUUUUGUAUAAUCCUUUUAGUUAAAGGAUUAUAAUGUUAUUUGUUUUUUUAUGUAAUUUUAAUUUAUAUUUUUAAUGUUUAAUGAAAUAUUUUGUUUUUGUUUAAGUUUUUUGUGCCUUUUUUAAUAUUAAUUCUCUUCAAGCUCGAAAAAUAACAAAGAAAAUGAACUAAAUAACUCCAACAGGAAUUAACAAAAACUCAUCCGAAAAUUAAGCAUUUUUUUGUAUGAAGUUUUUCCAAAAAAUCAUAAUAAAAUACAUAGUGCAGGAGGAAAACUUUAUCUCCCAUUGCUGAAGUUUUCAAGAAUGAACUAAAAAACUUCAGCAUUUAUGCUAAAGUUUUUGUGCAAUAUGUAAUUUUAAUUUAUUUUUUAUUUUAUUAUGAAAAAUGACAUUUUUGUAUUAAUGUUUUUGUGCGUUUUUUUCAUAUUAAUCCUUUUUAAACUUAGAAAAUAACAAAGGAAUUAAAAAAAACUUAUCCAAAAAUUACAUAUNNNNNNNNNNNNNNNNNNNNNNNNNNNNNNNNNNNNNNNNNNNNNNNNNNNNNNNNNNNNNNNNNNNNNNNNNNNNAACUUCAGGAAAAUGCUGAAGUUUUUUUAGUUCAUUCUUUAAAACUUCAGCUAGUUUUGCUGAAGUUUUUAAAGAUUAACUCAAAAACUUCAGCACUUAUGCUGAAGUUUUUGUGCAAUAUGCAAUUUUAAUUUAUAUUUUAUUUUUUUACCCAGUGUAGAAAGAAAACUUCAGCUCGUUUUGCUGAAGUUUUUAAAGAUUAACUAAAAAACUUCAGCACCUAUGCUGAAAUUUUUGUGCAAUAUGUAAUUUUAAUUUAUGUUUUAUUUUUUUUACCCAGUGUAGGAGGAAAACUUAGCUCGUUUUGCUGAAGUUUUCCUAAAGGUGUAAAUACUUUAAAACUUCAGCUUGUUUUGCUGAAGUUUUUAAUGAUAAACUAAAUAACUUUAGCUUUUUUAGCAAAUAAACAAGACAUAUACUUCAGCAUAUGUAAAAACUCAGCUUGUUUAGUAAAUAAACAAAAAUUUCAGCAUAUUUGAAUUUGUCAGAUUAGAAUGUUAGAAUUCAACGUGAAAAAGAUUUAGCAUGCAAAUUCAGCAUAUCAGUGAAGAGUUCAUGUUUCAUCCGUCAAACAACUUCAAUCAAUCAAUCUGAAAACAUAUUUUGAAUUCUGAAGAUGAAUUUGAAUACUUACAAUGUAUUUUGUUGGAAUUUGAAUAUGGUUCAAAUCUUGUUGGCGAGAGGCUAUCUGAGGCGAGACGGAGUGAUGGAGGAGAGACGAAGGCGAUUUGGAAUUUUAAUCUGGUAUGCGUGAUGCAUAUUUUAUAUGUUUUGGAAGGGGUAUAAUGGUCAUAUUAUUACGGUAUUUUUUGUUAGUUGGUUACGAAAUCAAUAGUUUUUAAAAAUAGGGUAUAUGUUAAAAUGUGGCAUAAAUAUAGGGUAUGACUGCAAAUCGCUCAUUGCUCAUGGCACGACCAACAUCCAAACAAAUAAAUGUUUAAUCAAAUGAUUAAAAAAUCGACUUCUAAUCAGUAAUAUCACCAGUUAUGUUAACAUAAAAUUAUACACAAAUCUUUAUCAUAACAAAUCACAUAGACUACAACUUUAAUAGUACAAUUGUACAAAUGAACACUAUUUUUUCAAAUUUGGAGUUUUAGCAAGUGCUAUUCAAUUAGCCCACCUACACUCCCUUUGAUGGCUUCAAGAAAACAGAAUAACCCUCAAAUUCAACUUCUUAUACGUUCCAAAUGGUUCAGUUAAUCAGAGAAGAAGUCAAUAACACUAGAUUAGACAAAUAGGACUCAAAACAACAAUCAUUGCCCAUGAACUAACCAAAAUACAUAUAAUUCAACUUCUUAGAGAUAAAACUUCAGUUUAUUCAGUCACGGACAUUGUAAAAAUGAUAUAUCAAAUUUAAACUAGCUAAGCAUCACGUUACAUGUGGAUGAUAGAAAACAUAAGAAUAGCCACAAAAUACCAUUUAUCUCAUGAAUCCAGUCAUUUUAUUGAAAGAAAUGAAUUACAAGUUGAGGUGUGUGUACCUAAUUCUGCAGAAGUGAAGCAGAGCUACUAGAAAUGAAACAACAAUAGAGAAGCAAGGAGAAAUCUGAACUUCAAAGCUGCAACUCAAACCAGUAGAAUCAAUACAGCAGCACAAACAACGAGUUUUCAACUCAAUCAGCUAUGGAAACCAAGAUAUAUGCAGCAACAGAAUGGGAAUGAGAAACAACUUUGAAUCCUCCUCUUUUUCCUUGUUUGUUUUUUGAUUUUAAAUUGGUUUUUCAGAGUGUUUUUUUAGAGAAAUCAGUGAGGAUGAGGGAAUGUAUGGGAGACUUCUAUAGAG
rnacentral:lncRNA from 1 species